UUUCAAGAUGGCCGCUGAAGAGGAGAUGAUUUCGUCAGAUGUGCAUCUUUUUACACCAUUUUUCCAAAUAGAGGAAAACAGCAAAGGUAGGGCUUGAGUAUAUAAGCAAGAAUUGACUGUCGCUUCGAAUUUUCUUCCAAAUCAAUGGCAUAAGUUAGACAAGAGAGGAUAAAGUCUCAAGGGUGUAACCCGGUGUCAGACGAUUGGCUCCGCAAAUGUCAUGAAAACAGCCAAUCUAUUCAGAGCGAUCGUGGUGAUUACAGCUUCGUGGUAAAAGAAAAAAUGCAAUUGAGACAACUUUGGAAUCAGAGGAAGGGCAUUUACCAGGUUUACAAUAUACAAGUCCCCAGAGAAUACCUGUGCCAAUAAGAUGGAAGGGAGAAGUGAUUCCAUGGGUUGUUGUGAAACUGAUGAAGAUGGAGAUUUGUCACCUCCAAGAAAGUUCUCUGCAAGAGAUGACUGUGAAGUCAUUACAAUAGAACAUUCUCUUUCCACUGGGAUUAAAGAUGUAGGGCUACAGGUUUGGAGAGGGGCUCUCCUGUUAAGUGAUUUCUUGAUUUACAAUGAAGAAAGAUAUGAUGGAUGUUUUGGGUUGGAGCUUGGAGCAGGGCUUGGUUUAUGUAGCAUCAUAUUGGGAAGAGUGGCAAAGAGAAUAUUUUGCACAGAUGUGGGAGACACCAUUCUCGGCAACUGCAAAGCAAACAUAGCAGCUAAUUCUCAUCUUUUCAGAUAUGGCAGUGAAGCUGUUACAGUUCAUGAAUUGGACUGGGAGAAAAAAGGAUUACCCACUGAGAAUGAUCCUUUCUGUUGGACAAUGGAAGAUCAGAAAAUGUUUAAAGGCAUCUCUGUUGUGUUAGCGGCAGAUGUGAUUUACGAUGAUUCCUUAACUGAUGCUUUCAUUGAAACAGUCUUACAUCUUUUUGAACAAAAGCCAGACAUAGUCCUUUAUUUGACAAUGGAGAAGCGAUUGAAUUUUACCCUGAAAGAUCUUGCUGUAACCUGUCCAGCUUACUCCCAUUUUAUUGAGAGAAUAAAUGAACUGGAGAAUAAGCAGAAAACACUAACAGCAAGGAAACUCUCUAUGGAAUUUCCUAAGUACUUACAGUAUGAGAGAGUGAAGGAGCUGGAACUGUGGGAAAUUAAACCAACUUAACAUGAUGUUGAAAUGGAGUCUCUAAACAGCCACCAACCAAAGGAAGGCAUCUGAGCUUUGAACUGGUACAAGCUGAUGAUACCUUGCUACCUCAUGUCAAAGUCUGGGCACUCAAUUUGUGGUGUGAGCCAUGGCAGACAAGAGGAACAGUUUGCGAUCACACCUUUGUCCAAACAAAAUGUACUCUCUUUGCAUGUGUGGAGCCAGUGUAAGAAGAUUUUCCAUCAAUAAACUCGUGUAGGAACUCUGGGGGAAUUGGGGAAUUGAAUUAAACCAUCUUAAGCUGAUGUUGACGUAAA